GGAUUGUAGGCUGCAACUCGCCUACAUGAAGUCGGAAUUGCUAGUAAUCGCGGAUCAGCAUGCCGCGGUGAAUACGUUCCCGGGCCUUGUACACACCGCCCGUCACACCAUGAGAGUUGGAAAUACCCGAAGCCUGUGAGCUAACAGUAAUGAGGCAGCAGUCGAAGGUAGAGCCAAUGAUUGGGGUGAAGUCGUAACAAGGUACC
rnacentral:rRNA from 1 species